rnacentral:rRNA from 1 species
GGUAACACNGGCGGCCCGAGUGGUGGCCACUAUUAUUGGGUCUAAAGGGUCCGUAGCCGGUUUGGUCAGUCUUCCGGGAAAUCUGACGGCUUAACCGUUAGGCUUUCGGGGGAUACUGCCAGGCUUGGGACCGGGAGAGGUAAGAGGUACUACGGGGGUAGGAGUGAAAUCUUGUAAUCCCUGUGGGACCACCAGUGGCGAAGGCGUCUUACCAGAACGGGUCCGACGGUGAGGGACGAAAGCUGGGGGCACGAACCGGAUUAGAUACCCGGGUAGUCCCAGCCGUAAACUAUGCUCGCUAGGUGUCAGGGACGGUGCGACCGUUUCUGGUGCCGUAGGGAAGCCGUGAAGCGAGCCACCUGGGAAGUACGGUCGCAAGGCUGAAACUUAAAGGAAUUGGCGGGGGAGCACUACAACGGGUGGAGCCUGCGGUUUAAUUGGACUCAACGCCGGAAAACUCACCGGGGGCGACAGCAAUAUGUAG